GUGAACGCUGGCGGCGUGCCUAACACAUGCAAGUCGAACGAUGAUAGGAAGCUUGCUUUCUUGAUUAGUGGCGCACGGGUGAGUAAUGCAUAGAUAAUGUGCCCCUUAGUUCGGGAUAGCCACUGGAAACGGUGAUUAAUACCGGAUACUCCUUCUUACUAUAAGGUAAGUCGGGAAAGUUUUUCGCUUCGAGAUCAGACUAUAUCCUAUCAGUUAGUUGGUGAGGUAAGAGCUCACCAAGGCAAUGACGGGUAGCGGGUUUGAGAGGAUGAUCCGCCACACUGGUACUGAGACACGGACCAGACUCCUACGGGAGGCAGCAGUGAGGAAUAUUGCACAAUGGGGGAAACCCUGAUGCAGCAACGCCGCGUGGAGGAUGACGCAUUUCGGUGUGUAAACUCCUUUUAUAUGUCAAGAAAAUGACGGUAGCAUAUGAAUAAGCACCGGCUAACUCCGU
rnacentral:rRNA from 1 species